rnacentral:rRNA from 2 species
GACGAACCGUGCGAACGUUGUUCGGAAUCAUUGGGCUUAAAGGGCGCGUAGGCGGGCCAACAAGUCCGGGGUGAAAUACUCUAGCUCAACUAGAGAACUGCCCCGGAUACUGUGGGUCUCGAGGAAGGUAGGGGCAUGCGGAACGGGUGGUGGAGCGGUGAAAUGCGUUGAUAUCACUCGGAACUCCGGUGGCGAAGGCGGCGUGCUGGACCUUUUCUGACGCUGAGGCGCGAAAGCCAGGGGAGCGAACGGG